AGAGUUUGAUCCUGGCUCAGAACGAACGCUGGCGGCGUGCUUAACACAUGCAAGUCGAACGUGAUCCGGGGCUUGCUCCGGUGAAAGUGGCGCACGGGUGAGUAACGCGUGGAUAACCUGCCCUGGUAUCUGGGAUAACAUCUCGAAAGGGGUGCUAAUACCGGAUAAGCCCACGGAUUCCUCGGAGUCCGCGGGAAAAGGAGGCCUCUAUUUAUAAGCUUCCGUAUCAGGAUGGGUCCGCGUACCAUUAGCUAGUUGGUGGGGUAAUGGCCUACCAAGGCUACGAUGGUUAGCUGGUCUGAGAGGAUGAUCAGCCACACUGGAACUGAGACACGGUCCAGACUCCUACGGGAGGCAGCAGUGGGGAAUUUUGCGCAAUGGGGGAAACCCUGACGCAGCAACGCCGCGUGAGUGAUGAAGGCUUUCGGGUCGUAAAGCUCUGUCAGAGGGGAAGAAAUGGAACGUGCUAAUAUCACGUUUUCUUGACGGUACCCUCAAAGGAAGCACCGGCUAACUCCGUGCCAGCAGCCGCGGUAA
rnacentral:rRNA from 1 species